rnacentral:rRNA from 1 species
AGAGUUUGAUCCUGGCUCAGAUUGAACGCUGGCGGCAUGCUUUACACAUGCAAGUCGGACGGCAGCACAGAGAAGCUUGCUUCUUGGGUGGCGAGUGGCGAACGGGUGAGUAAUAUAUCGGAACGUACCGAGUAAUGGGGGAUAACUAAUCGAAAGAUUAGCUAAUACCGCAUAUUCUCUGAGGAGGAAAGCAGGGGACCUUCGGGCCUUGCGUUAUUCGAGCGGCCGAUAUCUGAUUAGCUAGUUGGUGGGGUAAAGGCCUACCAAGGCGACGAUCAGUAGCGGGUCUGAGAGGAUGAUCCGCCACACUGGGACUGAGACACGGCCCAGACUCCUACGGGAGGCAGCAGUGGGGAAUUUUGGACAAUGGGCGCAAGCCUGAUCCAGCCAUGCCGCGUGUCUGAAGAAGGCCUUCGGGUUGUAAAGGACUUUUGUCAGGGAAGAAAAGGCUGUUGCUAAUAUCGACAGCUGAUGACGGUACCUGAAGAAUAAGCACCGGCUAACUACGUGCCAGCAGCCGCGGUAAUACGUAGGGUGCGAGCGUUAAUCGGAAUUACUGGGCGUAAAGCGAGCGCAGACGGUUACUUAAGCAGGAUGUGAAAUCCCCGGGCUCAACCUGGGAACUGCGUUCUGAACUGGGUGACUAGAGUGUGUCAGAGGGAGGUAGAAUUCCACGUGUAGCAGUGAAAUGCGUAGAGAUGUGGAGGAAUACCGAUGGCGAAGGCAGCCUCCUGGGAUAACACUGACGUUCAUGCUCGAAAGCGUGGGUAGCAAACAGGAUUAGAUACCCUGGUAGUCCACGCCCUAAAC